AAUCAACGCUGGCGGCGUGCCUCAGACAUGCAAGUCGAACGCGAAAGGUUCCUUCGGGAGCCGAGUAGAGUGGCGCUCGGGUGAGUAACACGUAGGUAAUUUGCCUUUGGGUGGGGAAUAACAAUCGGAAACGGUUGCUAAUACCGCAUAAUGCAGCGGCUCGACAUCGAGACAGUUGUUAAAGCGGGGGAUCCUUCGGGACCUCGCGCCUAAAGAGAAGCCUGCGGCGGAUUAGCAGUUGGUGAGGUAAUGGCUCACCAAGGCGACGAUCCGUAACCGGCCUGAGAGGGCGGACGGUCACACUGACACUUAAAUACGGGUCAGACUCCUACGGGAGGCAGCAGUCGGGAAUUUUGGGCAAUGGGCGAAAGCCUGACCCAGCAACGCCGCGUGAAGGAU
rnacentral:rRNA from 1 species